AUAUCACAUAAUAUUCAUUGAUAUUGCCUUGAUUUUGGAUUCAGUUAUUCUCUUUUAUCAUACACUUACAUGUUGUGUUGUGUUGUGAUUUAAAUUAUAUAUAUGUCCUUCGUCCAAUGCCAGCUCGGCUUUUGUUAGUUUGUGUGAAAAUGUUUGGUCUUAUGGAGGUGAGGUAGGGAUAAAAUCUUGGUUUUUUGGCUAGGUCCUAGCGUCAUUUGUGGAGGCUCAGGCCACACAACCAUUAAAUAGAUACAUUGCCUUCUGAACAUCUGGUAUCGUUGAUCUGCACUCGUGAAAGCUCUUCUAUUAUUUUUCCUUUUGGCUCUUUCUGGAAACAGCUGGACCCAUGGUAUUCCUUUUGGCAAUUAUUAUUGAAAAUAUUUGUAAUACAUUGGAUGGUUCCACUUUGAGCAACUUAAAAUUGCUAUGCUUAUGCUUUUGGUUUUGGGACAAGACAUGCAAGCGCUGAUCAACAAAAUAAAGUCUAUUAUGGCACCACUUCCAACCAAAUACUCUAGUGCAUUGUGAGUCAUUUUCCUUAUGUUACAUUACUGUUGUGGUUGUUCAUGCAAUAUCUUUCUUCUUAUCUUGGUUCUUCUAGUUUGUAUAUUUGGGGACUCUCUUGUACCUUACACCAUGAGAGGCGAUGUGUGGCAACUUAUUGAAAUGAUAAGAUAGUGUAAGAGGAUAACGAAAGAUGAAUGAAUAUCCUAAUUUUUUUUAUGCCUAUGAGAUUUUAGAUUUUUCCUUGUGAGGAAUUGUGUUCUUAUCUCUAUAUUAUGGCCUUUAAUUAGUGUCAUCUAAUCCUUGCUCUAUUUUUGUUUUCCAGUCGGGCCCUCAUAAAAGCAUGCUACGAAAAAACCCAGAACUUCGGCCGAGUGUAUUUCCUGUUCUUUAUUCUUUGUUUUACACUUUCCGAAAAUGUUUUACGUAGGAGAAGCAUUAAUAUAAGCAUAUUAAUGAUUUUCCAUUGCCUUAGAUAAUCUAAAUGAUUCCAAGUUCAUUAAAUAAGACUCAGCUAUUUGUGGUUGUUAUGGCUAAUAUAUUGCCAUUCAUAGUCAUUGGCAUAGGCCUUUUCUAGUAAGUUUCACUAAUAAUUUAAAAUCAUUGUAUUGUAUCGUCCAAAAUUCUAAGCCAAGAGGUGUUUAAGGUACUUAUUGGUUUUAUAUUUCAAUUGGAUUAACUUUUGGAAGGUAUAUAUAUGAAUUAAGAAAUAAACAUAUAUUUGCUAUUUUGUUGUUUGUCUGCAAAGAAAAAGCUGAAAAUAAUAUUUGGUAGAUUGCGAUGCAAAAAUGAUAUCGUACUGCAAAUAGAGAAGCAUGACUUUGUUUGUAACCAUCAUGGUAACUGUAGGGAUGGUAGUCAUAGGUCCUUGAUGGUCGCUAUGGUUCUAGAUAUGAUGGGUGUGUCAAUAGUGAAGUGCUUGUGGUAGUAUGGGAUACAGUGGUAAUAAUGAUGUGAUGUGUCAUAUUGCAAAUGGCAUCAAUAGAUGUGUCAUGGUGAUCCUAGUAAUGGUAGUUUUGAUAUAGAUUGACAUCUAUGGCUGUUUCAUAACCUCUAUGGCGGUGAUCAACCAUUUUAGGUGCUGGCAAUGGUAUUGGGCCAUCGAUGGUUAUGAGGAAAAAAUCAAGGUUAGGCCAUUGAUGGUGGUGGUAAUAGAACUAUUGUUUCACCUAAAUUUUGCUUCCAAAAAAUUUAGCUCUUAAUUCCAAUGCCAUUUUUUUUUUUUGUAUUUUUGUAUUUUUGCUUCCAAAAAAAUCUAUUGUUUUUUUAAAAAGCUAUCCAAAUACUAUACUAAAGGGCCUUUGUGGUCUCAAAAGUAGAUAUAUAAUUUUGAUCAUUUGCAAUUAUGUUCUUGUUUAGACAUUUGCUUGUGCAUUUGUGUAUGCUCUAUAAUUAUGGAGGAUGAAAUUGGCUGGGAGUAUGAUGAAUGCAUUUUCUGAAGGACUCAUAUUGGCUGACAAAAGUGGACUUAACCCCAAAACUCUUCUUGACGUGUUGGACCUAGGUGCAAUAGCUAAUCCAAUGUUUAAGAUGAAAGGACCCACUAUGAACCAAAAGAGCUACUCCCCUGCAUUUUCUCUGAAACAUCAGCAGAAGGACAUGAGGUUGGCUCUUGCCUUCGGUGAUCAAAAUGCAGUAUCAAUGCCAGUGGCAGUUGCUGCUAAUGAGGAGGCAAUGGAAUCGAAAUACAGAUUAUGACUUUGAGGCAGAAGUUCAAGAACUGAUUAGUGGGACAUGAAGGUGGCCAAAGAAAUGGUGCAAAUGGAGAUGUAGCCAAUGAUCAUUAUACCACUACUUGGAGGACAUUGAGUUAGUGCAGUCAUUACAGGAAUAUGGUUGAAGAUUCUCAAUCUCAUGGGCCAGAGUUCUACCUAGUAUAUUUUUCAAUAAUCUAUUAGUGUUUGUUACUCAUAAUUUGAUUCGUUCAUAUAACUUGAUUAAUAACCUUCUUGAGCUAUAUUAGGAGGUAGAAACAUGGUCUUUGGAUGAUUUGUAAUGUACAGACAAUUUUUGGAUGUUUGAAACUUAUAAAUAGUUUUUUUUGGUGUUUGAAAUAAU